rnacentral:rRNA from 1 species
AUUGAACGCUGGCGGCAGGCUUAACACAUGCAAGUCGAGCGGAGCGAGGGUGCUUGCACCUUAGCUUAGCGGCGGACGGGUGAGUAAUGCUUAGGAAUCUGCCUAUUAGUGGGGGACAACAUUCCGAAAGGAAUGCUAAUACCGCAUACGCCCUACGGGGGAAAGCAGGGGAUCUUCGGACCUUGCGCUAAUAGAUGAGCCUAAGUCGGAUUAGCUAGUUGGGGGGGUAAAGGCCUACCAAGGCGACGAUCUGUAGCGGGUCUGAGAGGAUGAGCCGCGACGCUGGGACGGGCACACGGCCCAGACGCCUACGGGAGGCAGCAGUGGGGAAUAUUGGACAAUGGGCGGAAGCCUGAUCCGGCCAGGCCGCGUGUGUGAAGAAGGCCUUUUGGUUGUAAAGCACUUUAAGCGAGGAGGAGGCUCUUAAGGUUAAUACCCUUGAUGAGUGGACGUUACUCGCAGAAUAAGCACCGGCUAACUCUGUGCCAGCCGCCGCUGUAACAC